rnacentral:rRNA from 1 species
CGGUAAUACGUAGGUGGCGAGCGUUGUCCGGAUUUACUGGGCGUAAAGAGCGCGCAGGCGGUCGUGCAAGUCGGAUGUGAAAGCCCCCGGCUCAACUGGGGAGGGUCAUUCGAUACUGCUCGACUCGAAGGCGGGAGAGGGAAGCGGAAUUCCCGGUGUAGUGGUGAAAUGCGUAGAUAUCGGGAGGAACACCAGUGGCGAAGGCGGCUUCCUGGCCCGUUCUUGACGCUGAGGCGCGAAAGCUAGGGGAGCGAACGGGAUUAGAUACCCCGGUAGUCCUAGCCGUAAACGAUGGACACUAGGUGUUGGUGGUAUCAACCCCGCCAGUGCCGAAGCUAACGCAUUAAGUGUCCCGCCUGGGGAGUACGGCCGCAAGGCUAAA